rnacentral:rRNA from 1 species
CAGCCGCCACGGUAAUACGAAGGGUGCAAGCGUUAAUCGGAAUUACUGGGCGUAAAGCGUGCGUAGGCGGUUUGUUAAGUCUGUUGUGAAAUCCCCGGGCUCAACCUGGGAAUGGCAAUGGAUACUGGCAAGCUAGAGUGUGUCAGAGGAUGGUGGAAUUCCCGGUGUAGCGGUGAAAUGCGUAGAGAUCGGGAGGAACAUCAGUGGCGAAGGCGGCCAUCUGGGACAACACUGACGCUGAGGCGCGAAAGCGUGGGGAGCAAACCGGAUUAGAUACCCCUGUAGUCCCUGUCUCUUAUAC